rnacentral:lncRNA from 1 species
AAUGUAUAAUCUUUAUCCUGUUCUUUACCAUUGGCUAAAACUUUGCAGAACAAGUUCUUUUAUGAUCUGCAUAUUGGUAUAAGUUGUCGAUUUCCGUAUUUGCAGCGUAGAAGGUGUUCCCAGUUUGUGGGUAUCAAUUGAUUUACGUGGAAAAUGUUUAUGCAGCAUAUUCAUGCAUUUUUAAUAGUUGUAUCAUCUUUUUUCCAGAACAGUCUUGAACUGGUAGCCAAAUCAUCCAAAAACACAUCUGCUAAUGUUUUUCCCUUGUUUAAACUUACAAUGGUGGAGUCUUUGUCUGCAAUUUGGUGGAAGCCUAUUGUCGUGGAUACCACUUUUUUAUAAAUCCUUUUAUGUUGAUGCAUAUUGUUAUCAAGUAUCAUUGCUCAGUGAUGUAUCAAUGCUGAAUCUGAGUAAGAUGAGAUCUUUAUGCAUUUCUUCACUUGUUACUUGAUAGGAGAUCUUCAAAGUAUUUCCUAUUCAAAGCCAAGACUUAAUACUUUAGAGGAAGGGCAUCUAAACAACUAUGCUAUUAUUGGCAUCCAAAAUUAAAACCACAGCUGGAUAAUUGAGGUUCCACUAUGACUGGAAAUCACUCUUUGGAAAUUUUUUGACCUAGCGUAUAACUCGAGGAAUCUUGUUAAAACCCUAUUUAAGAAAAUAAAUGAGCAAAUAAGGGUCUUAUGUUACAUUUUUAGUGGUAAAGAAGAUGUUCCUUUCUUCCAUUUCCCACACUUACUAGCUUUGAAGAGUAAAUUGUUAUUCAGAUAGGUGAGACCUGUAAGUAUGCGAGGUGUGAAGUAUCGUACUAAAUACAAUUAAAAUAUUAAGAUAAUAUGAGAUUUUUGAUAGAUAAGCACAAUGUUGAAAGACAAAUCUGUACGAAAUUAAGAGCAACAGGGGUGAAGGCUCUGUAGCGUCUGAGUUGCUCAUUCCCCCUUCCCCCUUUUCAUCCUAACCUUACGUCAUCCAUUCGUGCUGGCCACAACCAUUUACAGUGUUUAUAAUCUUUUUUAUAAGAUAAUGAUAUUUUAUUAAGCUAGUACCAAGGAGGCAGCACAAAAGUACUAAAGGAUUAUUAUUUCUUUGACAAGGUAGCAUUCAGCUAAAAGUUUCUAUGAAUCAUCAAGCUGUGAGACCUCCCUAACAAUAUGUUCCUUGCACCAAAAAUAUGAACUUAGUAAGCACCUAUUUUUUUUUUUUUUGAUUACAAGGGAAACCCGCAGCCGCUACCCUUUGGGUGCGCACAAGGUAAAACCCCCGCUCCUAUGCAAUAACUCGCAAACCACAUAGGAGAGGUAACCCGCACUAGGCAAGCUUGGUGCGACGAGCUCGACCCAGAAGGCAAACCCCUUGCUUUCGCUGGCAAGGGGUUUCAAACUUGAGACCUCCAACAUGGAAGUCCCAAGCUCAAACCACUUGGCCACCCCGAAGGGUAGUAAGCACCUAUAUUUUGCAAAAGAAAUGUGAUGCUUCUGUCCAGUGAAGCUUUUUUUGUUCCUUUCAAGCCAAGUACUCCACAUGAUGUAUUAUUGAUGCAGCUCUCUAGGUCUUUUAAAAUCUGAUAUCAUAUUCUUGUCCUUUCCAGCUGACAAGAAGAUUCUUCACCUCAUAUGGCCUAAUCCAUUUUACUCCAAAGAUAUUAAAAAACAUAGCCAGAUUGCCAGUAUGUAAAUUCACUGUGAAGAAGUAGAUGAUUAAGAGUCUCUCCUGCUCUUUCACACAGAAAACACCUGCUGCAUAGUCAAAAUCCCCUUUCUGAAGUAAUUCUUCGUCAUACAGGGAUUUUUCUAACUUUUAUCCUGACUAAGUGUACAAUUAAUUUGUGUUGAGUUGUGUACUUAGUUUAGUCUGACAGUAACCUUUUUGAUAAGCAGUGUGAUGAGUAGCUUUAGAUUGUCUGUAUAAGACAUUUUAAGGAUUAAGAAUGUAUAUUUUUCCUCUUAAUACCCCUAGAGGGGGGAUAAGGCUAAGCGGAGCAAAAAGGGUUUUCCAUGAGAUGGGAAAACUAUUUUCCCCACACGAAGUUUGUGAAUAAUUAUUUAUGUAAUAAAAACAAAGAUACAAUGAAAAGGAGGCGCCACAUUAAAGGUCAAGCUCUCUUGCAUAUUCUCAUACAAAGAAUUUAAUCUCAACCCUAGUUUGAUCCACCAUGAAACAAAGUUUGGAUUGAGAAACUAAUGUUACAAAAUCUCCUUAGUGCCUCACUUUCUAUGGUGGGCCAAUGGCUAAGGAAGAAAAUGAUGAGCAGUUUGUGUAUUAUCGGGAGUAGAUAAAGAGUAACCCUUUGUUGUAAAUUCCACAUGGUCAAGGGAGGAUUUUGUAUUGUGCUCUUUCUUGUACUCCCUAGGAUGAUAAUAUGGUGGAAAGGAUGAGGGGAUGAAAGAUAAAUGGGUUGUCUAGGAAUUUGUGCUUUCAAAUUAUGUUAUCCCCAAGUAAUUCAUACAAGUACAAAUAGAUGAGAGCUGAUUGAUGAAUGUUUAUAUUGUCCCUAAAAGAAUGAUACCUUUUUAUAUAUAGAAAUAAAUUCAAUUUUAAACUUUCCAAUUUUUACCCAUAAUACAAUAAUUUAUAGCCAUACAAAUAUCUGUGGUUUUUUUAGACUACAAGUUUCAAAAGUCUUUCGUUCUUUCUUAAACACUAGUUCCAAUCGAUGUGUAUCACAUAUUGAGACAUAGGGAGUACUAAGGAUGUGAAAAGAUUAUUUUGGAAGCUGAAUGACAAUCUGCUAAUAACUUUCUAUUGGUGCCAAUGAAAUUUUUGUGGUCUUUAGGAGAUCUAUGGAAGCUGAAUGACAAUCUGCUAAUAACUUUUGGUAUUGUUAAUAACGGCCUCCCUGACUUAUCAUUUUGAUGACAGUGGUGGCUGGACCAAUUAGCAUGCACAUUGGUCUUUCCAUUGGGUACUUGCUAUCUCUCAUCAAUAAAAUUUCCAACCAAGACUUAGGCAGAUGGAAAGAAACCUAGUGUUUUUGUUUUGGCUGGGAUUUGAACAGGUGAUCUCAUGGUUCUCCACCCACUUCAUUGACCACUAAGCCACACUCUUGAGUGCAAAGGCUUUUAGAAUUCUCGUUUAUUACUUUCUCUGGAUGUAGGAAAGGUUUUAUCAUUUUGGUAUGCUCAUUUUUCUUAAGGUUCACAUAAUGUUUUCAUCAAUUUAGUGAUUCAUAUUUCUAGAGCCUCAUAACCUCAAAACAGUAUCCUCUUUCUGGAUCAUAACUUACCAAACAUGUAGAGCAUUUCUGUUAUUUGGAUAUUAGCAAUUUGGAGGUUAUUGGGUGUAGCCUCAUAACCUCAAAGCAGUAUUUCUCUUUCUGGAUUAUAACUUACUAAACAUGUAGAGCAUUUCUAUUCUUUGGAUAUUAGCAAUUUGGAGAUUGUGGAUGUCUCAUUUCAACUAAUUGUCUCAAACUUCAAAUGUAGUUGCCAUGGAAAAAGACUGCAAGAUUUUCUAAUGCAUAGUGAAUUUAGUAUUCCGGAUGUUCAUUAUAAUUGCAAAUGGAGGCCGGAGCUUCAAUACCAUAACUAGAAAUUGAACUUUUCUCUCUCUAAGUACUUGACUUUGAUUCUGUCAUCUGUAAACCUUACUGAUUUGCACUGUAAUUAGGCGAGCACAGCUUCACAGCAGACUGCAUCUGACUGGCAAGAGUAUGAAGCUGCUGAUGGGAGACGGUGAGUUGGUUUUUUGGUAAUUCUUUUUUAAACUUUGCCCUUUAUCAAGUAAAUCAUGUUACUUGACAAUCUCUCAGAGUUUGUAUUAUGCUGCUUGCAGUGCUAAGAUAUAACUCUGCAAUGUUUCCCUUCUUUCCUGUUCAUUUAGUUUGGGAUUGAAGUGUAGUUCAGUGAUUAAUUAAUUAAUUUGCUUAUUUAGAUAUUAUUACAAUAAGAAUACAAAGCAAUCUAGCUGGGAGAAGCCUUUGGAGCUGAUGACACCUUUAGAGGUUAGUUAUAUUCUUAAUUGCUGCUGUUUUGAUAAUUGAAGUCUUUACUUGCUGUUUGGUGGAGUGCACAUAUUCUCUUUUGCCUCAAAAUAUGCAAAUAUCGUUUCCUUUUUGUGGAUGUUAACAACUGCACUAGAUAUUAAAUAGUUCAAACCGUUUUAUGUGUAUUCUACUUUUCUUUGCAUGUUCUUCCACUGGUUUGUAGAUGUCAUUGCAAGUCAUGGACAUAUAAACAACUGCGAUUAGUGCUCAAAUUGAAGGCGCUUUCACUUUCUCAAGGCAGGCAACAAUUUGUUAUUCCAUCUUAUGUUGCAAUUUAGUGACUUGAUAUUAUGUGGAAUUGGUCAUACAUGUUGGUAGUUACAAAUUUCCUGUUGAAACUGGAAGUUGACCUAUUUCAAUUUAAACCAUGAUCCUAAGCAAGUGCAUACAUAUACUCCUAAAAGAUUAGUAGAUAUAGGAAGUGUUGUUGUGAACUACCUGCACCAUCCUCCAUGUAUUUACUGUGGAGGAAAUUCACAACAUCCUAUUUUUUGUUGUUGAUGAGGUAGCAUUCUACUUUUAUCUUAUCUUGUUGACAUUCAUUGAUUUAUGAGGAACUUCCCAGCAUUGUUCUUUAUUUUAUUGCAUAAGCUUUGUUAGAAUAAGAAUAUGAACAAGAAUAAUAUAUAUAAAUCUACUUGGAAGAGGAAUAGUAUAUAGAAACCCACUUGGAAUAGGAAUAGUACAUACAAUCUUACUUGGAAAAGGAUUGUAAUAUAGUGUCUAUACAUAGGAUCUCAGUGUAAUAAUGGAGGUACACAAUUUAAUAACAUUCUUCUCCAAUAUUCUCACAUGGUAUCAAAGCUUCUAUGAAUCCGGUAGAGAAUCAAAGAGCUUUCGUUGUCGGCGGGCGGCUAUGACCAUAUAUGCCACUCGUCUGGCCAAUGGUUAUGUUAACAAAAGUAGGGCCACAUUUUAGGAAUUUUAGGUAUCGCUUGUAAUGUAAUAAGGAUGAAGUCUCAUUGAUAUAUGCAUGAACCCCAUAUUCAGUGGAAGAAAACUCAGUCCGAUAGACUACCCUGUGUCAAUUUUUGGCGACUUUCUAAGGGUCUGUUUGGAAAGCCACCAUGUAAUUGGAAUUGGUGUAAUUACUACGGUAGUAAUUACCAGCCUAGUAAUUACACAACCUAGUAAUUACGUUGACUUGUUUGUUUGCCACUUGUAAUUACAAGUGUACUGUUUGGUUGCACCAGUAGUAUUGAAUAUUAAAAAUAAAAAUUAAUUAUUAAAAAUUAAAAAUUAUAUUAGACAAAUAAGGGGCUUUAUAAAUGAUAUUAAAUUGUCAUAAAAAAUAAAUGAUAUUAAAUUAAACAUUUAAGAUAUAUAUUGUCUCUUGAAAAUAUAUUAAUUAAUGAACAUAUGUUCUUCACUAAAAUUAUAAAAUUAAUUGAUUUAUAUUUUUCAAUUUAGUAUAUUUUAAUUAAGUAACUCAUAAAAACUAAAAGUACAUAAUUUCUAUGAACAUCAUGAAAUACAUGUUUGACUAAAAGAUUAAUAUUAUAAAUCAAUACUCCUAAAACAAAUGAAAUUGAAAAUAUAACAUACAUUCUAAAUUCAAAACAAAAAAUUUAACAUAAUACUCUUAUGUCAAAUUUCAACAUAAAAUACAUAAAUAUGAUUUAAAAGAAAAGGAAAACGUAAGUCCAUAACUUUAUUCAACAAUAAAUUCUACUUUAGUUUAAAAAUUAGAAUAGUAACAAAAUUAUACUAAUGAUAUUUUUUGGAAGAUACGAAAAAUUGCAUGGAAUCACAUGAAGUAAAGGUUGAGAGUAAGAAGGAAAUGAAAUAUAAAUGAUAUAAAAAAUAUUUGAAAAUAAUAUUAGAAUAAUAAAAUCAGAACAAUUUAAAAUAAUAAUAAUAAAAAAUUAAAACAAAAAUAAAAGAAAGAAAUUUAAAAGUAAUUAGCUUGUAAUUACACCAUGUAAUUACCAGCAAUUCAUAUGCCCCCCCCCCAAACCCAAUGAAUUGGAGAGUGUAAUUACAACCUGCCAAUUCCACCCAAUUACCUGCUGACCAUGUAAUUACAUGCCCAACCAAACAGGACAGACAAUGUAAAUACACCGAAUUCAAUUACCAGGAUGGGCUUUCCAAACAGGCCCUAAGGAUAUUUUGUGUCAACCCGUAUCUGUCAGUAUUUGUGUAGCACCGUGCCAUCUUUCCAGUGACUAUUUUCUCAUAUCUAAUUUGUAUAACACCGUGCCAUCUUUCCACUGACUACUUUCUCAUAUUUGAUUUGCGUAGCAUCGUGCCAUCUUUCCAGUGACUGCUUUCUCAUAAUCGAUUUGCGUAGCACCGUGCAUCUUUUUGUUGACUACUUUCUCAUAUCAGAUUUGUGUAGUUUUGAGCAUUUCUUGGCGACCGCUACACCGUUUUCGGUAGAUCAGAGUUUUCCAGUUGUGUUCUCUUUGUUUCACAUUCACUUUUGUCAAAGGGUAUACACUGAUAUUUGGAUUGGAUUACGACGAUACUUUCUCUCCCAUGGCUAAUAUAGCAUAUGCCCUCCUUUAUUUUUUUAUCUAUGGUUACCAUUAGCCAUUGACCUCUUAAUGCAUAUGCCCGCCUUUAUUUUUUUUAUCUAUGGUUACCAUUUUCCAUUGACCUCUUAAUCAGUUGGACAUUAAAAAUGUUUUUCUCCACGUUGAUCUUGAGGAAGAAGUCUAUACAGAGCAACCACCUGGUUUGUUGUUAGGGGGAGUCUAGUAGCUUGUAUAUCGAUUGUGCAGAAUGUUUUGUCGACAUUCUGCAUCAAAUUCAGUAUUUUAUGAGAGGACUUAACACAUUGAGAUUCACUUUCUCUUUGUCAGAAAAAACAGAGAUGAUACUCUCCGGAGAAGUUGGUCUGUUUCAAAGUUAAUAUUGCCUCCUUUUUCUGAAUUUGGUUGUUGUUUGCCCUUUUAGUUUUCCUGGCUCCCGAAUAUUUUGACGAUUGCCAUGAACUUCCUUCAGUUAUCCUGAUCAGAUCUAGAAAUACAUAUUGGACAUCCCUAAUUUUCCCGAUCUCUUUGGAGAUUUUAUGUUGUCUCUAUUCAUGUUAAUAUACUUAAUUAGGUAAUUAGCUCCUCUUUCAAGUACUCCUUUACUUCAAGUUAGCCUUGCUUGUUGAUUCUCCUCAUCCAGCCAUUUUCUUCAUGAGUGGAAUUACCCCUUUUGUCAACACCCUUGCUCGCUUGCUUGAUGUCAAAACUCAAGCUAAAUAGAUGUUGCUGCUAUGUGAGCCUCAUUUCCUAUGCCUUCGCUGUCUCUCCAUGUGUCACCUUUCCUCAACUUCUCUUGGUAUCUGACGCUCUAAAUUCUCUCUUAUACUGUCUCUUCCAAUAUGGAGGAGAUUUUGAUUCACAUCCUUACCUCUCUAAAAGUGUGUUAAUGGGGAGGAAGGAGACAUUGAGAUGCUGACAGAUAUUUAGUUAGAUUUUUCCACGUGCUUUCCUCUCUUUAUUUGUGGAAACUUUCCCUGACCUAACAAAUUGGAAUCUGAGGUAGAGUCUGUCAAAUCUAUAAGCUGG